CUAGAAGUUUGUUUAAUCAAAUCCCUGUGUUAGAGAUCUCAACAUUCAAAUUAUGUAUCUAAUUAAUGUAGUUCUGCUUUAAUAUAUAAUGGAUCUGCCAGUAACCUCAGUAUCACAGGAAGUUUAAGAAAUUUUAAACAUUAGGACCAAAAGUACUAGAUUGUUCAUCUCUUACAUUACUUGAAGCUUCAAAGCUUCAUCUUUUAGUAGAAACUCUAGUAUCUAAGAAUUUUCCCAGCUUUUGCCCUUUUGGGGUUGAGAUUCACAUUUCAUGUUUCACAUGCAAAGAAUAUCUACAUCAUUAUAAAUAUAUAUUUUAUUUAGAAUGAUUCAGCUAGAAAUAUUGAUGUAACCCAAAGUCUGUGUUACUUCCUGGCAUGAAUUUCAUCUCUAAGGCUACUGCUCUAAAAGUAAUUUUGAAGGCAUAGG
rnacentral:lncRNA from 1 species